rnacentral:rRNA from 1 species
AGCAGCCGCGGUAAUUCCAGCUCCAAUAGCGUAUAUUAAAGUUGUUGCAGUUAAAAAGCUCGUAGUUGAAUUUCGAGAUCGGUUUAUUGGUCGUGCUAUUGUACGUACUGGUAUUACCGGUUUCUCCUUUCUGACGAACCUUAAUGCCAUUAAUUUGGUGUUUUGGGAAAUCAGGACUGUUACUUUGAAAAAAUUAGAGUGUUUAAAGCAGGCUCACGCUUGAAUACAUUAGCAUGGAAUAACGGAAUAGGACGUUUGAUUCUAUUUUGUUGGUUUCUAGGAUCGACGUAAUGAUUAAUAGGGAUAGUUGGGGGCAUUAGUAUUCAAUUGUCAGAGGUGAAAUUCUUGGAUUUAUUGAAGACUAACUACUGCGAAAGCAUUUGCCAAGGAUGUUUUCAUUAAUCAAGAACGAAAGUUAGGGGAUCGAAGACGAUCAGAUACCGUCGUAGUCUUAACCAUAAACUAUGCCGACUAGGGAUCGGGUGGUGUUAAUUUUUUAAUGU